rnacentral:rRNA from 1 species
CCUACGGGAGGCAGCAGUGGGGAAUAUUGCACAAUGGGGGAAACCCUGAUGCAGCGACGCCGCGUGAGUGAAGAAGUAAUUCGUUAUGUAAAGCUCUAUCAGCAGGGAAGAAAAUGACGGUACCUGAGUAAGAAGCCCCGGCUAACUACGUGCCAGCAGCCGCGGUAAUACGUAGGGGGCAAGCGUUAUCCGGAUUGACUGGGUGUAAAGGGAGCGUAGGUGGGAUGGUAAGCCAGAAGUGAAAACCCAGGGCUCAACUCUGUGGAUUGCUUUUGAAACUAUCAAGCUAGAGUGCUGGAGGGGUAAGCGGAAUGCCUAGUGUAGCGGUGAAAUGCGUAGAUAUUAGGAGGAACACCGGUGGCGAAGGCGGCUUACUGGACAGAAACUGACGCUGAGGCUCGAAAGCGUGGGGAGCAAACAGGAUUAGAUACCCCUGUAGUC